UAUAGAAUUCAAAUAUUUAUAUCAUUUAACCAACACAAAUUCAAGUGGUAGAAGGCAAAGUGAUCCCAGAGCAGAUGGGUUGAGGAAACAGAUUGAGGAAGGCAAAGAGUUGUCGAAGUCAUUCGUGGGUGGGGACAGCUUGGUAGUCCUUUGGGUGUCUGUACAAGCAGUAGUGUUGAGUCAUGAAGAGGAUGUCGAACACCACAGAAAAGAGGCCCAAACCGAACUUGGUAGGGUCCCCGAAAAUCAGCAUCCACUCAUCUGGAGACACAGACAGAUCAGGGGAGAUCAAGUGAUGACAACCAAGAUCAGGCUGACCAGAGCGAAGGUCCAGCCAACCAGCAACAGGAACAUGGCAGUCCAGGAGACCCUCUGACCUCCUCUCUGUGUCUACAUGGGAGUUGACUUGCCUUCAGAACUUGGUGGACAUGCAUCAACAACACAUACUUGAAU